GACGAACGCUGGCGGCGUGCUUAACACAUGCAAGUCGAACGGAAAGGCCCUGCCUUUGUGGGGUGCUCGAGUGGCGAACGGGUGAGUAACACGUGAGUAACCUGCCCUUGACUUUGGUAUAACUUCAGGAAACUGGGGCUAAUACCGGAUAGGAGCUCCUGCUGCAUGGUGGGGGUUGGAAAGUUUCGGCGGUUGGGGAUGGACUCGCGGCUUAUCAGCUUGUUGGUGGGGUAGUGGCUUACCAAGGCUUUGACGGGUAGCCGGCCUGAGAGGGUGACCGGCCACAGUGGGACUGAGAUACGGCCCAGAAUCCUACGGGAGGCAGCAGUGGGGAAUAUUGCACAAUGGGCGGAAGACUGAUGCAGCAACGCCGCGUGCGGGAUGACGGCCUUAGGGUUGUAAACCGCUUUCGCCUGUGACGAAGCGUGAGUGACGGUAAUGGGUAAAGAAGCACCGGCUAACUACGUG
rnacentral:rRNA from 1 species